rnacentral:rRNA from 1 species
UACGGAGGAUCCAAGCGUUAUCCGGAUUUAUUGGGUUUAAAGGGUGCGCAGGCGGAAGAUUAAGUCGGCGGUGAAAUUUUGCAGCUCAACUGUAAAAGUGCCAUCGAUACUGGUUUUCUUGAGUGUGGAUGAAGUAGGCGGAAUUUGUGGUGUAGCGGUGAAAUGCAUAGAUAUCACGAGGAACUCCGAUUGCGAAGGCAGCUUACUAAACCAUAACUGACGCUCAGGCACGAAGGCGUGGGGAUCAAACAGGAUUAGAUACCCU